UACGAAGGGUGCAAGCGUUACUCGGAAUUACUGGGCGUAAAGCGUGCGUAGGUGGUUUGUUAAGUCUGCUGUGAAAGCCCCGGGCUCAACCUGGGAAUGGCAGUGGAUACUGGCAAGCUAGAGUGCGGUAGAGGGUAGUGGAAUUCCCGGUGUAGCGGUGAAAUGCGUAGAGAUCGGGAGGAACACCAGUGGCGAAGGCGGGUCUCUGGACAGUUCCUGACGCUGAGGCACGAAGGCCAGGGGAGCAAACGGG
rnacentral:rRNA from 1 species